UGGGGAAUAUUGCACAAUGGGGGAAACCCUGAUGCAGCGACGCCGCGUGAAGGAAGAAGUAUCUCGGUAUGUAAACUUCUAUCGGCAGGGAAGAAUAAGGACGGUACCUGACUAAGAAGCCCCGGCUAACUACGUGCCAGCAGCCGCGGUAAUACGUAGGGGGCGAGCGUUAUCCGGAUUCACUGGGUGUAAAGGGAGCGUAGACGGCUGGGCAAGCCUGAUGUGAAAGGCGGGGGCGCAACCCUCGGACUGCAUUGGGAACUGUCCGGCUGGAGCGCCGGAGGGGUAAGCGGAAUUCCUGGUGUAGCGGUGAAAUGCGUAGAUAUCAGGAGGAACACCGGUGGCGAAGGCGGCUUACUGGACGGCGUCUGACGUUGAGGCUCGAAAGCGUGGGGAGCGAACAGG
rnacentral:rRNA from 1 species